UUUUUUUUGCUUUUUUUUAGAGCCACACCUGCGGCACAUGGAAGUUACUGGGCUAGGGUCCAAUCAGAGCUGCAUCUGUGACCUACACCACGGCUCCUGGCAAUGCCAGAUCCUUAACCCACUGAGCGAGACCAGGGAUCAAACCUGCAACCUCAUGGAUACUAGCUGGAUUCGUUUCUCCUGAGCUACAAUGGGAACUCCUGCAGUCAGAGUCUUAACCCACUGCACCACACUGGGAACUCCAAGCAGUUUAUUUUAUUAUUUUAUUUUUGUUCUUUUUCUUUCCUUUUUUUUUUUUUUUUUGGUUCUUUGUGCUGUUGUUGUUCCUUGGCUAUAAAUCUCCACUUGUCCUUGCUGGAGUGGGGGUCAAAGCCAACCCCCCCCAUGUAAGACCCCACCCUCAAUUCGGAAACGCAAAAAGCUCUGAAAACUCAGAUUUUCAGGGCUCAUUUGGCUCCAAAAGCUGUUCUGACCAGAAGGGAGGCUACUGUGAGUCUCUGUCCACCCAGUGAGAGGCGCUCUAGUGCACUCUCUGUCCCCAGGAUGCUGCCCCAAUCCUUCCCACAGGGUAGCGACAGACUGCAUUAUCACUCAAAAAUAAUAGGAAUUCCACGAGUUCCCGUGGUGGCUCAGUGGGAACGAACCCAACUAGGUCCACGAGGAUGCACGUGUGGUCCCUGGCCUCCCUCAGCGGGCGGGUUGAGGAUCCAGCACUGCUCAGACCCCGUGUUGCCGUGGUUAUAGCUGCAGCUCCAAUUCAGCCCCUGGCCUGGAAACUUCCAUGUGCCAUGGGUCAGCCCCAAAAAGACAAAAAAAAAAAAAGGAAUUCCAAAGUCAUAUCGGGCCCUGAGGGCAUCAGUCAGAUAAGGGAGAAGAACUGGCACAAAUGAGUCAGAGCUGGUAGGUAUGUGACCGAGCCGGAUUCCACCAGACUCCAAAGAUGGCCUGUGACUUAGGAGGAGAAUUGGAGGCAGGUACAUGCAGGCUCUGGAUGUGCUGGGGAAGAGGCAGCAAGACACGGAGAGCGUCCUUAUCAUCCUGCCAUCAGCACUUAAAGGUCAAGAGGCUGGACGAUGCGAGAACUGGACAAGCUGAACGCUCUUUGCUACCUCUUUCCUAGAAAUGCCGGGUAAAGGACGGACACGCAACUUCUCAAUGCAGAACCGAGCCUGUAAGAACGUGAGGCGCAUCACCAGGGGCCGGAAUGAUAAUGUAUCAUUAAGCUAAUCUAUGACUGUACUUGCAUCCUAUUGAACAUUAAUUUUACUGAAAGCCAGUGUAAUGCCUGCAACAUGCAGUCAUUCCAAACGAAGCGGUGUUCUCAGUGCCUGAAUCUAUCACGCCCUUGGGAAAACGAAUAAACAGAAAAUUUGUUUAAAAUGGAGUUAGGGGGCAUUCCCGUCACAGCUCAGUGGUUAAUGAAUCUAACUGGGAUCCGUGAGGACGCAGGUUUGAUCCCUGGCCUCACUCAGUGGGUUAAGGAUCCAGUGUGGCCAUGAGCUGUGGUGUAGGUCGCAGACUUGGCUCGGAUCUGAUGUUGCUGUGGCUGUGGUGUAGGCCGGCAGCGAUAGCUCCCAUUUGACCCCUAGCCUGGGAACCUCCAUAUGCCGUGGGUGUGGCCCUAAAAAGCAAAGAAAAAAAUAAAAAAAUAAUGAAAUGGAGUUAGGGGCAUUCCCUUGUGGAGCAGUGGUUACGGAUCCAGUGUUGUCACUGCAGCGGCUUGGGUCACUGCUAUGGUGUGGGUUCGAUCCCUGGCCUUGGAACUUUCACAUGCCAUGGGUGGAUGGGGCCAAAAACAAAUAAAUAAAUUAAUUAAUUAAAUGGAAUCAGCAUAGCCAUAGAGAAGAGACUUGUGGUUGCCAAGGGGGAGGUGGGUUGGGGAGGGAUGGAUUGGGAGGUUGGGAUUAGCAGAUGCAAACUAUUAUAUAGAGAAUGGAUAAACCACAAAUCCUAUGUGUAGCACGGGGAGCUAUUCAACAUCCUGUGAUAAACCAUAAUGGAAAAGUAUAUAAAAAGCAGAUAUAUACAUGUAUAACUGAAUCACUUCGCUGUACAGCAGAAAUUAACACAACAUUGGAAAUCAACUCUACUUGAAUGAAAUAAAAUAGAGCUGGGAGGCCAGAAGGGGGAGCUCUCACACCUACCACGCCUAGUCAACGGCAGGAAGAACUGUACCUUGGCGUCUCCAACAGAAAGGUUACUACUUCACUACCCAGCAGGAGGAAGGAAGACCCAGCAGCAGCCCAGCCAAUGAGAGACUGUUAGUUACCACUCAGCCAAUGAAAAGCCACUACACUCUGAGCUCCCCGUUUCCGCCAAUGGACUCUUUGUUUAUAACAGCCCCUCCCAACUCCCCUUCUCCUUUAUAAAAGGAUGGUUCUCUGCCUGUGGUUCGCCAGAGAUUGCCUGGCCUGAGUUGUGAUCUUUGUUGUUCCUGAAUAAACCCAUUUUUUUUACUUUAUUGCUUUUGGUCAACACUCUCCGGCACUCGGGCCGCAACCCCAACGACUGCUGUUGCCUUUUCACAGAUGGAGAAACAGCCCAUCCUAUGCUGGCGGGGCUGGGAUUCAAGCCCAGGUCUGAAUCCAGAGUUUGUAUUCUUGACUGUCACAUUCUCCCAGCUCUACUGUAAUUAGUGUAAGAGUGACGUCACAGGAAAAUACCAUGAACUAAAACCCCAGUGGUUCUGACGGGGAUGGAGGAGGGUAGUUACACAGGGGGUUGUGCAAGUCCCAGGCGGGGACCGGGGAUAGAGAGGGAAACCUAGGGAACUCUGGGAGAUGACUGUAAGUUAAUAAUCAUUCAAGAAAGCCACCAGGACAGAUUGGAGUGAAGCAGCCCUGCUUAACUAUAAAACCAGAAAUAAAAGCACGAGCUACGCCUCAGGUCAUUACGUGAAAGAUAAAAGGAGGCUGCAGUUCAAGUUCAGCAAGAGAACGACCCUUAGGACCAAGGAGAGGCGUUUAAGGGAAAAACGACCUUCCAAAGGAGGAGACCCUCCUGACACGGAAACCGGAGAUGAUUCAACAUGUUUUAGCCUCUGUUACCUCCCUUCGGCUGAUCUGACUAAGCACCAGGGCAGUCCUUGUUCGACCUCACAGGGUCAAAUACCCUCUUUUCGGAUACGAAGGAGGAGCUAAUGAUGUCAGCCCGACCUCUGCUCAAAGAACAAGGAAGAAGAUGGUCUCUUCCCCACCCCACUUUCCUUGGAUUAUAAAAAUCUAGCCCCACCUCAUCCUCGGGGCAGAGCCUCCUUGCUUGCCUGCUUGUAUCCCUCGCAAGUAUCCCAUCUCAGUAAAUCGACUUCUGGCCUCUCACUUUGGCUCUCGCUGAAUUCCUUCUGCGCUGAGGCACAAAGAACCUGAGCCUCAGUUAAGUCCAGGCACCAGGUGAGGGAUUCUAAUUAAAAAGCCGUGGGCUCAUGUCCGAAACUUGCUCUGGGUUUGGGUCAAGUCAGAGAUGUUGUUGUUGGUUUCAGUUGGGCUGCCUUGUGGGGUAGGAAGGGGGUGCUGAGACACAGGGUAAAACCAGCAGUAGGGAGAUAAGACACCAGCAAAACCGAGCAGGGCCCUUGGGUCUCCUGGGAACAAAAGCCUUUCUGUGUCCCCAUUUCUGGCCUGUUGGGAACAGGCUUCUGCUUCCCUGACCUUCCUAGAGUUCCAAGGGGCAGGCUCAAACAGCUGCUAAUCAGGGAAGGGAGGGAUGCAGAGACCAGGGAGGAGCCGACAAGAACCAACUGUGCAGCCUGGGCAGGUCCUGGUUCCUCCUCGGAGGGUACACAGGACAGUCUUUGAGCUCUUGUGCAGAACUAAACCCCCAGCAAAUGGAAGAAGGCAACUGCUUGGUGAAGUCUUCUCCAUUUUCCGACCACCAGGACCAGUCCUGGGGCCACUAAACACCCGAUUUGAAGAAUACAAGCUUUGCAUCCACCCUGGCCCUUAUCUGCAGCCCUAUUUCCCACUCCCAGACUAUAAAACCUCUUCCCAUUCUCCUCCAAAGGAG
rnacentral:lncRNA from 1 species